CAAUCAGCUGCUGGAUGCCAUGAUGACAUCAUCAGAUGCAGAUGUGAUGUCACAAUAGAACAGAACAGCAAAAUCCUGCUGAUCUGGAGACCGAGCCUCACACUACGGUGAUUCGACAGAGAAAGAGGAUGGACUUAAAAACGACUUUGUUGUUGCUGGCGGCGGGGGUGUUUUGGGCGGCUUUAUUGCUGACUUUCUUAUACCUGUAUUUUUGCCACCGGAAUAAUAAUAAGAAGGAAAUAAAAUAUUCUAAACUGGAAGAGGUUGUGGUGGAGGCGAAAGGAGAGACCGAAAAAGGAAAAAAAGCUAAUGACCUAAAGCAGAUGGAGGAGGACGGCGGAGAGUGAACUCAUCUGCAGAGGAUCUGAACAGCUGGGAGUUUGGGGAAAGGGAAAAAUAUAAAAGGGGAGUAAAAAAAAAAUCAAAAAAAUAUAAAAAUAAUAAAAAAAAAAUAGAAAAUAAUCUGAAAAAAAUAAAAAAAAAUAAAAAAAAAAAUCUAAAAAUAUAUAAAAAAAAAUAAACCAAAAAAUUAUAAGAUGA